rnacentral:rRNA from 1 species
UACGUAGGGUGCAAGCGUUGUCCGGAAUUAUUGGGCGUAAAGAGCUCGUAGGUGGUUUGCUGCGUCCGCUGUGAAAACCCAAGCUUAACCUUGGGCUUGCAGUGGAUACGGGCAGACUAGAGGUAGGUAGGGGAGAAUGGAAUUCCCGGUGUAGCGGUGAAAUGCGCAGAUAUCGGGAGGAACACCGGUGGCGAAGGCGGUUCUCUGGGCCUUACCUGACACUGAGGAGCGAAAGCGUGGGGAGCGAACAGG